rnacentral:rRNA from 1 species
UACGUAGGGGGCUAGCGUUGUCCGGAAUCAUUGGGCGUAAAGCGCGUGUAGGCGGCCCGGUAAGUCCGCUGUGAAAGUCGGGGGCUCAACCCGUCGGAUGCCGGUGGAGUACUGUCGGGCUUGAGUACGGAAGAGGCGAGUGGAAUUCCUGGUGUAGCGGUGAAAUGCGCAGAUAUCAGGAGGAACACCGAUGGCGAAGGCAGGAUCUCUGGGCCAUAACUGACGCUGAGAAGCGAAAGCAUGGGGAGCGAACAGG